GGGGACGCGUGGUUUCGACAGGGAGAUCACCGCUCGAUCGCGGGUCGUGGCGCCGUGCACCACGUAAAAAGCGGCAAAAACGUAAACGGCGAACGUGAAUACGCCCUCGCUGCCUAAAGGGUAGCGACUUUCCUCCCACUCCAAGCCUGGCGGGGUAGGAACGGAAGACAAAAAGCCGGGCUACGUUGUUCGAGUAGCUAGUGGCGAACAACAAAGGAUCACUAGCUGGUCGCAGCACUUGCUACGCCGAUGGGGCGGGAGCAGCGACGAGAUAAAAACCGACGGCUACACUCGUAGAAGUCAAACCGGAAACCUUUCUGGACGGGGAGUUCGACUCUCCCCCGUCUCCACCA
rnacentral:tmRNA from 1 species